rnacentral:tRNA from 1 species
AGGGGUGUAGCUUGGUGGCAGAGUGCUUGCCUAGUGUGCAUGAGGUCCUGGGUUCAUUUCCCAGCAUCACAG